GACAGAGGUGCCGAGCGUUAGGCGGAAUCACUGGGCUUAAAGCGUGUGUAGGCGGACUUCUAAGUACCUUGUGAAAUCCCACGGCUCAACCGUGGAACUGCUCGGUAUACUGGUUGUCUUGAGCCACUUAGGGGCAGUCGGAACAGACGGUGGAGCGGUGAAAUGCGUAGAUAUCGUAAGGAAGACCAGUGGCGAAGGCGGGUCUCUGGACAGUUCCUGACGCUGAGGCACGAAGGUCAGGGGAGCAAACGGG
rnacentral:rRNA from 1 species